GACUACUGUGUGUGAGUGCGGCCGCCACUGUGGGGGAAAAACAAGUAACCGGAGCUAUCUGUUUCCCUGAUCAGAUGUGUCAUGGGUUUUGGUUUAUAGAUGGCUUGAUGGAGAUCAAAGAAGCAGAUAUUUGAAAUCGUUUCAGAUGUUCAAUUUCAUCAGUAACUUUGGGAUGAGACUAUGGUGUCCCAUACAGUGAAAUGAAAAUUUUGAGGCAGUGGAGUGAAUCUUUGGAAGUUUAUGAAAUAUGAGUUGUAUGGUUUAUCGAAUCAAACAGGAUAAUCAUCAGAUUAAGCAAUUAGGGUUAUGUUAAGCUUUGAUACAUAUUGGGGGUUUCUCCGACAUUUGAAAUGUUCUGUUGCAAUUUGGUUAGGCUUCCAUUGGCUGCGGGAAACUACAAUGUGGCAGAUAGUGGGCAUUGUAUCAUGGUAUAAAGUUGUUUCUAACAGGCGUUCUUUGAAUUUUGACAUUUUUUCCUAUAUAUGCAGAUAUCCCUAUUAUUUUUUCACUGAAUUAGUUCUGUUUGUGACGUCAAUUCAUAUUUACUCAACAGUAUGACUAGGCAAAUAUUUACAAGCACCAUACUUGCUUUCUUACAUUGUUUUGUGGGAGUGUGUUAGUGAUUGUUGGUUGGUGGAACAACUAAAGAAUGCGAGUGAAAUUUGUUAGGGAUUUUUAAUUUUGGUAUAUAUGGGUUGCGUUGAGCUGCAUCUGUAGAAGGAACAGAAUGUAUACUGUUGUAGCUUUAACCUGAGUAGCCAUGCUUCUUGCCCAUGGUUCAGUAAAAUGGCGGAAAGCCUUGAUCCAUUGUUGAGGUUUUCAGUUUGCUUUCUCUGCAGAACUGUUGUUCUGGGUUACGUUUUAUCAAUUUGUUCAUUUUGCUUUCUGUCCAGAAAGGCAGAAAGCAAUGUCAUUGUGCUUGACCUUAUCAAUUUGUUGUGCACUACGUUUUAUGCUUUUAUUUUGCUUUCUCUCCAGAACUGUUUAAAUAGUAAUCUUCAUGUAUAACUUGCUUUCAUGUCGUUAAUUGCAUCUUGUUGUUUAGUCACGAUGGCAUCCUAAAAUGCAUGUUACUUUGAGCAUAUGCUUCUGAUGUGUAUCUAUCUGUAGCUUGCCUUUUAAAUUCAAUAAACAUUAAUAAUGUUCACUCUCAGUACGCAAAAACAGAUCCCAACAUCACUGCAACAGCAAAUCAGGAUAUUUCAGCAAUCCGAAGCUGCUUCCCAUCCACCGGUUUUGUACCCCAACUAAAUACACCCCUAUGUGUCAUGGAUGGCAGCCGUUGAUGGGAAAUGGUGGGUCUGGGAGAGGUUUCGGGGGACCAGUACGGGGUGGGCACAUAGCCAGGGUAUGUUUUUGGGGUAUAAAACCGGUGGAUGGGAAGCAUUUUAGGAAUCAAUGUUACAGUCUUCUGAUGUCAGUGAAGGCUUGCAGCCGGGGUAUAAAACCGUUGAUGGGAAAUGGUGGGUCUGAGAGAGGUUUCGGGGGACCAGUACGAGGUGGGCACAUAGCCGGGGUAUGUUUUUGGGGUAUAAAACCGGUGGAUGGGAAGCAUUUUCGGAAUCAAUGUUACAGUCUUCUGAUGUCAGUGAAGGCUUGCAGCUCUUACUGUAAUGAAGAACACAUAAUCGUGAGUUUCUGAAAUCAAUAUUACAGUCUUCUGAUAUAAGUGCGGGCUUUUAGCUCUUGCUCAGGGCUAAUCUAAGAUUCUAUGUAAUUGUCUUUUAUAACGAGAAUGACUAUGUUUGAGUACUUGUUACUGCUGAAGAUAUCCUUUGUAACGGGAUAGUUGCAGCACUAGUCCUUUUUUAGUUCUUUCUUCCCGUUUUGUCUGUCAAAAGAAUAUUAAUCAGCAAUAGCAUAUAAUUGAAUAAUUUGGGAA